GACGAACGCUGGCGGUGUGCUUAACACAUGCAAGUCGAACGGUAAGGCCCUUUCGGGGGUACACGAGUGGCGAACGGGUGAGUAACACGUGAGUAACCUGCCCUCAUCUCUGGGAUAACAGUCGGAAACGGUUGCUAAUACUGGAUAUGAGCUUGCAAGGCAUCUUGUGGGUUGGAAAGAUUUUUUUUGGUUGGGGAUGGACUCGCGGCCUAUCAGCUUGUUGGUGAGGUAGUGGCUCACCAAGGCUUCGACGGGUAGCCGGCCUGAGAGGGCGACCGGCCACAUUGGGACUGAGAUACGGCCCAAACUCCUACGGGAGGCAGCAGUGGGGAAUAUUGCACAAUGGACGGAAGUCUGAUGCAGCAACGCCGCGUGCGGGAUGACGGCCUUCGGGUUGAAAACCGCUUUCAAUUGUGACGAAGCUUUUUUGUGACGGUAGCAGUAGAAGAAGCACCGGCUAACUACGUG
rnacentral:rRNA from 1 species